AUAGGAGUUGUUGGGGACUAUUUUCAGUGGUGGAUUAACACACAUUUGGUGCAGUCCGGCCUCAGUUCAGUGUAUGUGAAUUGGACUCAAAAUAAAAUAAAGUUGUGGCUAAUUGAUGGGUUGAAUAGUUUCUCACAAGACUGGAGCUCUAUGGCACUGCAGAAAAAGAUACAUUACGCUGUGAAUACACAGAUAAUAAUAAUAAAAAGAAAAUCAUUCAGUAUCACCAGCCUAAUUAUUUAAAGUCAACCCAAAUAUUGAUUUCUAAAUGGCAAAAAAUAUAGUAUCAGUAUAGUAAUUUGUCUGUAAUCAGUGGAUGCUCUGCAGAUCAUUUUGUGAAAAAAGGAUACAAGGUACCUGAUGAAAACUGCUCUCAUUUUGGUUUUUGGUUCCUUAAUUUGAAUAUUACUUUCAUGUUUGUUGGUUGUUCAACCUUCACAGUUAUGGUGUUGAUGUCCCAUAGUUCUACAUUCUGUACACUGUGAACUUGAGGUUCAGGUGUAGAUUCUCACUCAGUUGGUAUCUGAAUGCUCGGCUGUCCAAACCCUCUGAAAGACAUAUUGGUUUACUGUGUUCAACAAACCUGUUUACUUCCUUACUUUACUGUUUUUCUCUUGUUUGAAACUUUACAUCUCUUAAAAAUUAGUCCGUCCUCUUUAUUUGAAGAAGAGCGACCUCGCUACCAAGCAGAGGCCUGGACCACAGUGAGGGUCUUCUGUCUCAGUCAGAUGGAAGACGAGCUCCUGGAAGAGCUGGACAAAGAAGAGCAGCAGGAAGGUCACAUUGGAGGGCUUUCAGGUGUUUGUCUCAGUCGUCCAUCCAGGAGCAGAGGAGGAUGCUCAAACCUUCCUUCCAUCUCUACAGAGCACGCUGCUCAGACUCUUUGGUGGCAUUCAGAUCACCAGCCGCCAACUCUCUGCAGGGGACACAAAGCCAGCACAGCUCUUGGAGCUUGAACAGAGCACUGCGCCCCUGGUACCAAAGGUGGUGGACACUGCUCUAAAGUUCCUCCUGGAGGAACCGGAGCAGGGAAACCAGAGCGAAGCUGCCAGUGCUGAGAUUGGCAAACUGCUGUCUAACUCAGCAGCUCCCUGCCUGCAGUUUAGAUCUGUGUCUAAAAUUAUUCUGCUUGGUGUCAUAGCCUGAUUGAUGGUCAAAAGCAUCUACAAGAGGUUAAAUGAGUGCUCCGAGGACUUCCACCUGAUGGACUAUGAUGAAAGCUCUUUCUCUGCCAGAUAAGCGUUAUCUCUGCCAUCCAAGAUAUGGAAGAUGAACUGCAGACUGCUGCAGCCAGGAUCACCUUUAGCUCAGCACCUCGAGGGGCUGGAAGAUCAACUUCUGGAGAAGAGGGGGGCUUCUCUAGAGGUCGCUUCCUCCAAGGAGCUGGAAGGGGGACCCAAGAAGAAGAAGGAGGCUUCUCCACAGGGCAUCCAGACAGCUGCAUCCGGCCAGGCACAUAUUGAACUCAGCACCUCAGGGCAUCUGGACAAGCAUCUGGGAGAGGAAGUAAAGGCUUCUGAGACACAGGAACCCCUGGUUCAGGACUGUGAUGUUGAGGACAAGAAGAGGGAGUGGGUGCCUUCUUCUAUGGUGUCUGGAAGAUGAUCACAUGCUGCUUUUGUAUUUCCACCGAGGACGAAACCACAAAAAUCAUUAUGCAAUUAUAUCGUUUAAUGCAUUAAAUAAAUACUGUUCAUUUUAAAUCAUUAACCAUUUUGUCUGUAUUCACUGUUUUUCUACUUGGACAAAAAGUUCUUGGGAGGGAGUUGUGGGAAAUCAUGUAAGCUGGCCUGGGCAGAGAGUUUCAUUGCAGGUGUUCAGGAGAGGAUCUGGAGAAGCACGUUGUUCCACAGCCAGCC
ensembl:lncRNA